CCACCUGAAUUAAGAGAGAAUCAGAGAAACGAUUAUAGCGGCUGGCAGAGAAAGGGUGAGAUGAAUUAACAGAGAGAUUGAGAAGACAUUUGAGCAAAUGGGUUUAAUUCUGAUUUAGGUUUGCAAGAGAAGAUAGAGAAAAGGGUUUGUUGAGAACUGAGAAGAAGAAAUCGAGAAUUCAAAAGCUACGGUUUCCUGUGACAUUGAGUAACGAAGAAUUAGGGCACAAAUUCAUUCUGGGUUUUGAUGGAAUUGAUGUCACUGAGAAAAGGAAUUGAAGCCGCUGGUAUUUGAGAAUGGAAUUGAUUACAGGUUCGACUUCGGUUGAACAAUGGGUAUUUGCUGAUAGGUUGAAGCAGGCAGUGAUGUUGAAGCUGUUGCUCAUUACAGGGAAGUGAUGGUGGCAGUGUAUUGCAGAUGGGUGAUGGAAGAUAUUAAUGGUUGUUUAAGGAUCUUAAUGGUGAUGGUAACAAAUGAGAACUACUGGUGUUGAAUGCAAGAUUGCAGUCAAGGACUCAGGUUGAGCUGAUAUGAUAAAGAUAAUCAUGGGUUUGAUGUUGAUUCUGUAAUGAAGAAGAAGAUCCCGGUGAUUGUUUCGAUGGGAUUGUGAUGAAAUGGCAGAGAAGAAGACUUGUGCUGAGAACUGAUAGAUUGUGUCUGAAGCAGAAAUUGUGGUUUGUGUUGCAGUUGAAGCUGGGAAGUGGUGAUAAGAAUGGUUAAUGAUUCAGAGCAGUUCAGACAAGAUGAGAAUGAGAGCUGUUCAAUUGAGUCUUUGUUGGCUGGAGCUGGUGAAAGAUCAGGAGCUAAAUGUUGGGUUUGAAUUAAGGAAUCUGUGAAGAAACAGGAAACGCAAGUGAGGGCUUUGAGCAAAUUACUGAAUUGGAGUUGUUCUUGAGCUACUGGUGGUCUAAUGGCCAGAUGCUCAGGUAGAGAUUGCAGCUGAUGGAGUAUGUGCUGGUGAAGGGUGGUUGUCUUAUUGAGCAGCAUGAACAGUUAGAUGCAUGUGUUAGGAAUUACAGGGAUUUGAAUGAGCUAAUGGGUCUAUGAAUUGUUGGAUGGGUGAACUGAUGCUGCAGGUUGAACUGGUUAAUUUGUGAGAAGAUUGUGGCUUGAGUUUCAGGCAGUUGAGGUGCAGUUCAACUGGUCAGUGAUGGCUGUGUUAGAAUGAGUCUUGCAACUGAAAUUGCAAGUAAAUGAGUGAGGCAGAUUAGACUUAGAAGCUGAUGGUGGUGCUGUGAAGGAUGAGAAGAAUUAACAGUGGGUUUGCAUUGGUUUUGCGUUUGUCGAGGAGUGUCUUGAGUUGCGGAAACGGAGAUGUACUUGGAGCUGAUUGAGACAAAGAGAAGUAGAAUUGCAGCUGCGGUUCGAGUUGUUGCAGUUGAGCUACAAUACAAUGAAAGUGUUGAUGCUGUUUAUUUCCAGAUUGAGAAGAGGAUUGCAGUUAAGAGCUAAAGGGAUCAGGUGGAAGUGAAUGGAACUGAAGGUUCAGCUGGUGCUUGUUGUGAGCAGUAUACGAAGGAUCUGAAGCUAUUGUUGAGAUGCAGUCAAUAUGAACUGAAAUUGGAGUGUGCUUGAAGCAGUGAUGUAAUGGUUAUACAAGAAACAUGUGUUGCUGUCAAGUUUGCAGGAUUGAGAAGCUGAAUGUAUGAGAAGGUCCGAAUUGUAGGUGGAGAUCAAGGAAGGUUGCAACUGAAAGUUUGUAAAGUUGGUAGUUUGCUGUGAGAGAGCAAGGGACUGAAAUGAAGUGAAUGGUGGAUUGGAUGAAUGCUACAGAUGAAUGAUAGAUGCAUGCUAGGAUGAUUGGUGCAGAGAAGCUGAGAUAUGGCCUGUAACAUGCCAGAACAGACAGAACUCUAGCUGAAUCGGGGUCAGCCCAGUUGACUCACUGAUUCACUCAAAUGGACUUGGGCUCUGAGAUUUGGGAUCAACUUAUUCCAGAGGCAACAGUUAGCUCAUGCGGGAUGGAAAAGGAAAGAAAGUAUAAAAGGGAGAAUUCCACAGCUAAUCUGAGAUCUUAUCUUUACUUCUACUUUUGGUUUUAGGGUUUUAGACAUGGAAACUUUUAUUUUUCUUCUUGUUAUGAACCCCAUUAACAUGAGUAGUUAAUCUUAUUAUUGGUUUUG